rnacentral:tRNA from 1 species
GCUUGGGUAGCUCAGUCGGUUGAGCAUCCGACUUUGGCUCAGGUCAUGAUCUCACAGUUUGUGGGUUCGAGUCCCACAUCAGGCU